rnacentral:ncRNA from 1 species
GAAAGCCGUAUGCUUGGAAACUUACUCGUACGGUUUGGAGGCGGGGCUGUUUGUAAUAGAGAGUAGGAAAACAAAUCCUACAAUCGAAACGCAAAUAUUCUAUCCCUAUCUUUAAAUGCGACUCUGAAACACAAAUUCCGAUUAUAGGAUUAAUUUUCCACCCUGAU